rnacentral:rRNA from 1 species
CAGCCGCCGCGGUAAUACGAAGGUGGCAAGCGUUAUUCGGAUUUACUGGGCGUACAGGGAGCGUAGGCGGUUUGGUAAGCCCUCUGUGAAAUCUUCAGGCUUAACCUGGAAAAGUCGGAGGGGACUGCUGGGCUAGAGGACGGGAGAGGAGCGCGGAAUUCCCGGUGUAGCGGUGAAAUGCGUAGAGAUCGGGAGGAAGGCCGGUGGCGAAGGCGGCGCUCUGGAACGUUUCCGACGCUGAGGCUCGAAAGCGUGGGGAGCAAACAGGAUUAGAUACCCUGGUAGUCCACGCAGUAAACUGUGAACACUAGGUGUAGCGGGUAUUGACCCCUGCUGUGCCGAAGCUAACGCAUUAAGUGUUCCGCCUGGGAAGUACGGUCGCAAGGCUAAAACUCAAAGGAAUUGACGG